GGUUUGAGUGUCAGUUCGUGGUUUGAAAAGACAAGUUAAAAGAUCAUACCAUUAUAGUCCGUGAAGGGUUUUUCCCUUGCUCUCCAUCACGCUCUUUUUGUUCGGAUUCCAUGGAAGGAGGCGCUGUGGAACACUGUGAUGAGACAAAGGCCUGUUGUUGACUACUAUUUUCUAUCUGAAUGCAGGUAAAUGUGUUAUUUUACACUACUUGUAAAAUAAUACUAGUGGUCACCUGCGUCUCAAUUCGCAGGCUGCAUACUUCUAAAGACCCAGCCUACCUAGCCUCCGGAGGACCCAGCCUUGGUA